GGUGAAACCGCAAAAGGCUCAUUAAAUCAGUUAUGGUUCCUUGGAUCUUAAACAGUUACUUGGAUAACUGUGGUAAUUCUAGAGCUAAUACAUGCAAACAAGUCCCGACCAGAGAUGGAAGGGACGCUUUUAUUAGAUCAAAACCGAUCGGCGUCCGGCUCCGGCCGGCGCCGUCUCUUUUGGUGACUCUGGAUAACUUUUAGCUGAUCGCACGGUCACAGUACCGGCGACGCAUCUUUCAAAUGUCUGACUUAUCAACUGUCGAUGGUAGGCUCUGCGCCUACCAUGGUUGUAACGGGUAACGGGGAAUCAGGGUUCGAUUCCGGAGAGGGAGCCUGAGAAACGGCUACCACAUCCAAGGAAGGCAGCAGGCGCGCAAAUUACCCACUCCCGGCACGGGGAGGUAGUGACGAAAAAUAACGAUACGGGACUCAUCCGAGGCCCCGUAAUCGGAAUGAGUACACUUUAAAUACUUUAACGAGUACCAAUUGGAGGGCAAGUCUGGUGCCAGCAGCCGCGGUAAUUCCAGCUCCAAUAGCGUAUAUUAAAGUUGUUGCGGUUAAAAAGCUCGUAGUUGGAUCUGUGUGCCACGCUGUCGGUUCACCGCCCGUCGGUGUAAACUGGCAUGUCUGUGGGACGUCCUGCCGGUGGCGGUACGGGCUGUCGGCGCUGCGUAGGGGUUCGCCCCCGAAGCACGUCGGCGUGUCCCGGUCCGCCGAUUCAAUCCCGCCGCGGUGCUCUUCACUGAGUGUCGAGGUGGGCCGGCACGUUUACUUUGAACAAAUUAGAGUGCUCAAAUCAGGUCGUA
rnacentral:rRNA from 3 species